UACGUAGGGUGCAAGCGUUGUCCGGAAUUAUUGGGCGUAAAGAGCUCGUAGGCGGCUUGUCGCGUCGGCUGUGAAAACUCGGGGCUCAACCCCGAGCCUGCAGUCGAUACGGGCAGGCUAGAGUCCGGCAGGGGAGACUGGAAUUCCUGGUGUAGCGGUGAAAUGCGCAGAUAUCAGGAGGAACACCGGUGGCGAAGGCGGGUCUCUGGGCUGGAACUGACGCUAAGGAGCGAAAGCGUGGGGAGCGAACAGG
rnacentral:rRNA from 1 species